CUUAAUGAAAAGGCUUAUCAAA
rnacentral:miRNA from 1 species